rnacentral:rRNA from 1 species
UACAGAGGGGGCAAGCGUUGUUCGGAAUUACUGGGCGUAAAGGGCGCGUAGGCGGCCUGUUAAGUCGGACGUGAAAUCCCCGGGCUCAACCCGGGAACUGCAUCCGAUACUGGCGAUCUUGAGUCCGGAAGAGGUGAGUGGAACUCCUAGUGUAGAGGUGGAAUUCGUAGAUAUUAGGAAGAACACCAGUGGCGAAGGCGGCUCACUGGUCCGGUACUGACGCUGAGGUGCGAAAGCGUGGGGAGCAAACAGG